GAGACUUUUUUAGAGACCUUGGCUAAAUCUGGACACCUUGGCUAAAUCUGGACUUCUUUUAGAGACCUUGGCUAAAUCAGUAGAGAUUGCCUACGCAGGGUAGAGGUUAGAGGACCCAGCCGGAGGAAGAAGAGGUCCGGAGCCAGAUUGGUCGUGUGAAGAAGACGUCUUUUUUUUUUUCUGUUGUAUUGUGUACAUAUUUUGUUCAUUUCUCAACCCCCGCCCCCGUUUGUGUGUGUGUGUCAAUGCCGAGUGUUUUUUGGAGCUAUCUUUCUAAAUGCUCUAAAGUGCCUGAUGUAUUUUAUAAGUAGUGGUAGGAAAACAACACAUUAUGUAAAUACGUCUUUGUUAGGAUUCAUUUGAAAUAUUGUUUGGUAAGGAAGAGUCAAACCCCUCCCGAGUUGACCACAUUGUGUUUGUGCCCUGGUUCCCAGGGGAAGGAAACGCAGAGUUGUGAGCCAUUGUGCUCCACUGUGUUUGGCUUUGCCGUGUACAUAGCAUAUAUAAAGGACAAAGGAGUCCUAAUUUACGACAUCUAGUCACUCUAGGUGUCAAAGAGGUCGCCAGUGUAUGACAAAGUAGAGGUAGUAGAAUACAUUUUCUAUUUUUUAUGUUAAAAUUUUUCUUUUUGUGUUAAAAUUGUUUUAAUUACUACUCUUGUUACACGUGUGCCGUUUACUGGACUACCGUGUACACAGUGGACAACAGUCCUUACUUGAAACAUCUGGUCUAUCUAGAUGUUUAGAAGUGCCCAACGUAUGUUAAAUGUAGAGGUAGUAAAAUAUCGCUUUGUAAAUAUCUUUUUGCUAAAAUUCAUGAAGCACUGCCUUUUGGAAGUAGAAUGCUGGAGCCCUCUGUGAGCAAUACUGUCUGUACUUGCUCAGGGUCUGGAGGAAGUAAUGAGAAGCAACACGGUCAUGUGCUAGUGUGUUUAUAUGGGACCUUUUCAGAUGUCAUUGCUAUAUAUUUGCCUUUAGUUUGGCUGUGUGUAGUCUGUAUAUAAUGGACACUUGACUAAAAUUUUCAGCUUCUCAUUUCUAGAUGGUAUAGAGGUUGCCAAUGUAUCACAAAGUAGUAAAAUUAGCACAUUGUAUACACUGUUAAUUUAUAGGAAAGAUUGCUCUGUAAAUGAUUUGGGGAUAUGAAUUUAUUCAGCUAUUUCUAGGCAUUGUGUAUGUCUAUAUUUGCUGGCUUGAAGGCAGAGAAGGGAGAAGAAAGUGAGUCACAGCCCGGAUGGUUAUAUUUAGAAGAUACCUCAGAUAACAACCAUUGCUUUGCAUACAAUUUUAUUUGCCAGUGCAGUGUGGAUAGGGGAUAAGUUUUUACAUGAGAUACCUGGUCUGUCUAGGUAUUUUCAGUGUUUGAUACAUUUAAAAGUAGAAGUAGUAGAAUGAUACUUUAUGUAAAUAGUUUUUGAAAAACUGGAGAUACUAUGUUUAGAAGUAGAAUUGCUAACCCACCCCCCAGAACAGUGCACUGGCUGGACUUGUCCAGUGGACUGAGGGGGUGGGAGGGAAGGAACUGCAAAAAGAUCCCAUUAGUGUGCUAGACCUUUUUAGCUUCCCAUCACCCUGUGUGUUAUAUACAUUUAACUUUGCUAUGCUGUACAUACUGGACAUACUGGACAAAGGAGUCCUCAUUUUAUGAUACCUAGUUUCUAGGUAUUAAAUUGCCAGCAUAUGACAAAAGUAGAGUUAGUAGUAAACUAACACCUUCUGUGUACUCCGUGUUAAAAUUCACAGCAAGGUUGUCUUCUGAAGAGUUGUGAAAGUAUCAUUCAAGUGGCAGGCGCCUGUGUCUUGGGAUACAGAGGAGAGGCUGAAGAAAAAAGUCGGAGACCAGAAUGCUCUCAGCAGAAGACACGUUGAGAUCUAACCAUUGUUACAUGUGUGUGGUUUCCACACUACUGUGUAUAUAGGGGACAAAUUUAUGUCCCCACCUGAAACAUCUAGUCCUUCUAGGAGUUUAGAAGUGCACAAAGUAUGUUAAAGGUAGAUGUAGUAAAUAAUACAUGUUGUAGAUUCUCCUGUUUAAACUCGUGGUGAAAUGCCGUCUUUUGGAAAUGGAAUGAUAAAAUCACUUCUGAGCAAUACAGACUUGUGCUGGAUUGGGAGGGAGGAAGAAAGAAAAUGGAUGAAGACCUAAUAGUAAUGUAAGAUUAGCCAUUGUCCCUUUCUUCUGUGCUUAUUCUGCAGUAUAUCAUGUACGCAGAAGACAGACGAGUCCAAAUAUGCAGCACCUAGUCUUCUAGAAGGGAAAGAGGCUGCCAAUAUGUGACAGAGUAGAGUAGUGUUUUAAAGCUGUGUUAAAAUUCAUAGGAAAGAACUCUUAAAACCAUGUAGGAAGUGAAGUUGUUAUUAUACCCACAGAACCAUGCAUGACAGGUUAAGAGAGGAGGGAGGUUCUAGACCAGAGCGAUGCUCUCGUAGGUCUGUUAGGGAUGCGCGGUUUAUUUUCUGCCCCGCACUGUACAUGUGCUGGGGACACGGAAGUAUUACUGGAAACAUCUAGUCUUUAAACUUUUCAGUCCUAGAUUGAGGCAGGUGGAUCUUGUGAGUUCCAGGCCAGCCAGAGCUACAAGCCAGGGCUUUGUCUCUCAGAGUAAGAAAAUGUGCACAAUGGUAAAGGCACCUGCCGCAAACUGGUGACCCGGAUGUGAUCUUCAGGAUCCACAUAAAAGGAGGAAACUGAUCCACAAAUUGUCUUCUAGCCUCCAUACAAAUAAAGUGGCAUCAUGUGCCUACACUAAUUCAUAAAGUAAAAAAUGCACACACCGUGAAAAUAGAGGGUUAACAGCACCUUUUAAGGAUUAUUAUUUCAUAGGAAUGGUUACACUGGAAUUGGAACUGUUAGACAUGCUCUUUGAGCAGAUGCUGUUCCCAGGCGGUGGAGGUGGGCAGGGGAAAGAUAGUGCAGAGUAAGGUGCUGUGCCUGUUGGCUGGUUCCCGGUUGUCCUGCCAUUGUUCCCGUUUGCAUUUCCGUUAAUGUUGCCAAGUAUUAGAGGGUAAGUCCCAGUGCCCAGGUGUUAGAAGUAGAACAGUCAGUAUAAAUGUCCUGCUGGUCUUUUGGAAGGGCUGUCUUCUGGAGGUGACACUUGUCAUACGUUGACUAGCAUCAUCCUGAACUGGAGGUGGACAGAGAAGAGGACGGAUGAGGGAAGAGCUCUUGGCUAGGACCACCACAUCUAGAAGACAAUUUCAACUGUACCCAGGGAUCCAUAUGUGCAUUGCUGGGAAGAUACUUGUGUUUAUUGUGCUCAAAGUUCAUUCCACAACAUCUGAACUUCAUAAAUGACCUAAAGGAGUGGAUAUGGUUAAAGGUAUAGCUUGA